rnacentral:rRNA from 1 species
AUUGAACGCUGGCGGCAGGCUCAACACAUGCAAGUCGAGCGGGGUGAUGGUGCUUGCACUAUCACUUAGCGGCGGACGGGUGAGUAAUGCUUAGGAAUCUGCCUAUUAGUGGGGGACAACAUCUCGAAAGGGAUGCUAAUACCGCAUACGUCCUACGGGAGAAAGCAGGGGAUCACUUGUGACCUUGCGCUAAUAGAUGAGCCUAAGUCGGAUUAGCUAGUUGGUGGGGUAAAGGCUUACCAAGGCGACGAUUUGUAGCGGGCCUGAGAGGAUGAUCGGCCACACUGGGACUGAGACACGGCCCAGACUCCUACGGGAGGCAGCAGUGGGGAAUAUUGGACAAUGGGGGGAACCCUGAUCCAGCCAUGCCGCGUGUGUGAAGAAGGCCUUAUGGUUGUAAAGCACUUUAAGCGAGGAGGAGGCUCUUUUGGUUAAUACCCAAGAUGAGUGGACGUUACUCGCAGAAUAAGCACCGGCUAACUCUGUGCCAGCCGCCGCAGUAA